GACGGGACCGCACAAGCGGUGGAUGAUGUGGUUUAAUUCGAUGCAACGCGAAAACCUUACCACCUUUGACAUGUACGGAACCUUUAGAGAUAGAGGGUGCUCGAAAGAGAGCCGUAACACAGGUGCUGCAUGGCUGUCGUCAGCUCGUGUCGUGAGAUGUUGGGUUAAGUCCCGCAACGAGCGCAACCCUUGUCAUUAGUUUGCUACAUUCAGUUGGGCGCUCUAAUGAGACUGCCGGUGACAAGCCGGAGGAAGGUGGGGAUGACGUCAAGUCCUCAUGGCCCUUAUGGGUGGGGCUACACACGUCAUACAAUGGCUGGUACAAAGGGUUGCCAACCCGCGAGGGGGAGCCAAUCCCAUAAAGCCAGUCGUAGUCCGGAUCGUAGUCUGCAACUCGACUACGUGAAGUCGGAAUCGCUAGUAAUCGUGGAUCAGAAUGUCACGGUGAAUACGUUCCCGGGUCUU
rnacentral:rRNA from 1 species